rnacentral:rRNA from 1 species
UUCUACGGGAGGCAGCAGUGGGGAAUUUUGGACAAUGGGCGCAAGCCUGAUCCAGCAAUGCCGCGUGAGUGAAGAAGGCCUUCGGGUUGUAAAGCUCUUUCAGUUGAGAAGAAAAAGUCGUGACUAAUAAUCAUGAUUCAUGACGGUAUCAACAGAAGAAG